rnacentral:lncRNA from 1 species
CCUCAUGCCACAGGGAUUCCACCUGGUUAUAAACCUCAUUCAUGAGGUGACGAACAGGUCUGUGAAAAUGAUUGGUGUCACUUGCUGAGGUUGCCUGAGCCAGAGGAAGCCAUUUCCCUCAUGGCUGGAAUCUCUCUUUUAUUGCUGUAAAUAGGAUUAGUGCUUGCAAGAAUUAAUCAUCUGGGCCUCUGCCUGUCCUCUAAGUGCAUAAGCUCUUGUCAACUAUAAGGUCUCAUUGACUAUGUAAUUUAGUCAGUGGAGGCCAGAAACUGACUUUGAUUACUCUAGACACCUUACGGCUGGUCAACUCAAUAGCUUUCUAGAUCCCACUAGGUAAUAUUGACUGUAUCUCCUUUGAUUGCAAUGCAACCUUAUAGAUAAAGUGCAUGUAUAAUCACCUGCAUGUAGACACCUGGAUUUCUGUGUCUGUGUCUCGAAACUGAGCCCUGCUUCUAGUCUUUCUGUUACAGCCUUUCAUAACAGGUUUCAAGAUCAGUGUCUGGAAUUUGACUCGGUGGAAACCAUCGUUCUUCACCUGACGUUGGCAGAAAGCAGUUUCCUGUCCUUCUUCCUGCUGCUUCCUAUAGAAUCUCUUCCUUGAAAGACCAGGCUUGCCCAGUCUGUUUAAAAACCAGGGGCAGAUCAUCGCGUGGCUCUUUGGGCGAGCAGCACACGGUGGUUUGGGUUGGAUUGGUCACGACUGUUCACACUGAUCCCAGAGCUCUACAGCACCCAAGAGAGCAAUAGAGCGAGGAAAGAUCCAGGAUGGACAAUUCUAGAAUUCCCUCAGCCUCAAGGAAAUCCUUUUCACGGAAUCACGGAAUUGUCAG